rnacentral:rRNA from 1 species
UACGGAGGGUGCAAGCGUUAAUCGGAAUUACUGGGCGUAAAGCGCACGCAGGUGGCUGAGUCAGUCGAUUGUGAAAGCCCUGGGCUUAACCUGGGAAUUGCAGUCGAUACUACUCAGCUAGAGUAUGGGAGAGGGCAGUGGAAUUCCCGGUGUAGCGGUGAAAUUCGUAGAUAUCGGGAGGAACACCGGUGGCGAAGGCGGCGACCUGGGACGAUACUGACGCUGAGGUGCGAAAGCGUGGGGAGCAAACAGG